rnacentral:rRNA from 1 species
UACGAAGGUGGCUAGCGUUGUUCGGAUUUAUUGGGCGUAAAGGGUCCGCAGGCGGUUUUAUAAGUCAGGUGUGAAAUCCCACAGCUUAACUGUGGACACGCACUCGAUACUGUCAGACUAGAGUAUGAGAGGGGUAAGAGGAAUUUCCAGUGUAGGGGUGAAAUCCGUAGAUAUUGGAAAGAACACCGGCCGCGAAGGCGUCUUACUGGCUCAUCACUGACGCUCAGGGACGAAAGCCAGGGGAGCAAACGGG